rnacentral:rRNA from 1 species
CCCUUCAGCCACGAAGAAGGCGCGGCACACAGCUCAGUAACACGUAGCUAACCUGCCCUCGGGACGAGAACACCCCCGGGAAACUGGGGCUAAUUCUCGAUAGGCGAAGAACUCUGGAAUGAGUCUUUACCCAAAAGACGUUUAGAUCAUGCUUCUAGGCGUCGCCCAAGGAUGGGGCUGCGACCGAUCAGGUAGUUGGUGAGGCAAUGGCUCACCAAGCCUUUAACCGGUGCGGGCCGUGGGAGCGGGAGCCCGGAGAUGGGCACUGAGGCAAGGGCCCAGGCCCUACGGGGCGCAGCAGUCGCGAAAACUUUGCAAUAAGCGAAAGCUUGACAGGGCUAUCCCGAGUGCCAUCCGCUGAGGAAGGCUUUUACCAGUCUAGUAAGCUGGGGGAAUAAGGAGAGGGCAAGUCUGGUGUCAGCCGCCGCGGUAAUACCAGCUCUCCGAGUGGUGUGGAUGUUUAUUGGGCCUAAAGCAUCCGUAGCUGGCUGAGUUAGUCCCCUGUUAAAUCCACCGAAUCAAUCGUUGGAUUGCGGGGGAUACUGCUCGGCUAGGGGACGGGAGAGGCAGACGGUAUUUCCGGGGUAAGGGUGAAAUCCUAUAAUCCCAGGAAGACCACCAGUGGCGAAGGCUGUCUGCUAGAACGCGCCCGACGGUGAGGGAUGAAAGCUGGGGGAGCGAACCGGAUUAGAUACCCGGGUAGUCCCAGCUGUAAACGAUGCAGGCUAGGUGUUUGGACGGCCACGUGCCGUUCUAGUGCCGCAGGGAAGCUGUUAAGCCUGCCGCCUGGGGAGUACGAUCGCAAGAUUGAAACUUAG